rnacentral:rRNA from 1 species
CCCGGUGUAGCGGUGAAAUGCGUAGAUAUCGGGAAGAACACCAGUGGCGAAGGCGCUCUGCUGGGCCAUCACUGACGCUCAUGGACGAAAGCCAGGGGAGCGAAAGGGAUUAGAUACCCCUGUAGUCCUGGCCGUAAACGAUGAACACUAGGUGUCGGGGGAAUCGACCCCCUCGGUGUCGUAGCCAACGCGUUAAGUGUUCCGCCUGGGGAGUACGCACGCAAGUGUGAAACUCAAAGGAAUUGACGGGGGCCCGCACAAGCGGUGGAGUAUGUGGUUUAAUUCGAUGCAACGCGAAGAACCUUACCAGAGUUUGACAUCCUGCGAAUCUCUUGGAAACAGGAGAGUGCCUUCGGGAACGCAGUGACAGGUGGUGCAUGGCUGUCGUCAGCUCGUGUCGUGAGAUGUUGGGUUAAGUCCCGCAACGAGCGCAACCCACGUCUUUAGUUGCCAGCAUUUAGUUGGGCACUCUAGAGAGACUGCCGGUGAUAAACCGGAGGAAGGUGUGGAUGACGUCAAGUCAUCAUGCCCCUUACAUCCUGGGCUACACACGUACUACAAUGCUACGGACAAAGGGCAGCAAGUUCGCGAGGACAAGCAAAUCCCAUAAACCGUGGCUCAGUUCAGAUCGUAGGCUGCAACUCGCCUACGUGAAGGCGGAAUCGCUAGUAAUCGCAGGUCAGCAUACUGCGGUGAAUACGUUCCCGGGCCUUGUACACACCGCCCGUCACACCAUGGAAGUUGGCCACGCCCGAAGCCGUUACUCCAACCCUUGUGGAGGAGGACGUCGAAGGUGGGGCUGAUGACUGGGGUGAAGUCGUAACAAGGUAACC